CUCUCUCUCUCUCUCUCUCUCUCUCUCUCUCUCUCUCUCUCUCUCUCUCUCUCUCUCUCUCUCUCUCUCUCUCUCUCUCUCUCUCUCUCGUGCACAAUAAGGCCAUUCGUCACCUGAAAUGUUUGUUAACCGAAGCUAUUUUCCCCAUAGGAAUCAAUGUAAAAUAGAUUAAUCUAUUCCUGGACCCCAGGUGAUUGCUUAUUUGAACUUUUACAACAGUACUUUGUGCACAAGUUCAUAACACAAAACCAAUGGAUAUCAGUAAAUGCAACACAAAAAAUAGGAACUCAAUACUAAACAGAUAAAAUAUGAUGAAAACUUGAUUUGAUUUUACCGUACCUGUACGGAGGAGAGUUGACGGCGCAGUAUCACACUGACGUAAUGUCACACUGGCUGUUUUCCUCCAGCCAUUGGUUCCACCCAUAUGGAUGGAACCAACGGUUGUGGGUAUGAGCAACCGCUUGGCUGUAUGCAAACAAACAGACGACGGCAGUGGCUGAGGAGUGAGAAGCAGUGGAAAAUGACAUACUAAGAGAAUGGUAAAGUGGACUGGCAGAGCUGCUUUGUUACUAUUUACUGACAAGAUAACAGAACACUCCCGUGCUGUGGGAUCACCACUUAAAAUACAUAUAUUUUUUCCAUUCUAUAAAAACUGUAGGACUCCCAGGCUUCACAUCACGUUCUCUGACGAGGUUUGAGAAAACACUCCUGUUCUCCUGUCUUUGAAGCCAUGAUUGUGUCCACAACCGCUUCUUCCUUCCAUCUAACUGCAGCAACAAAUCCAUAACUUGGGUAACAGCAACACAGUUCUCAACAGCCUUUACUUUAUUAGCAGAUGGCGCCAUGUCGAUACAGGGCGACUGCUUUGUUUACAUUGUGGAUAUGGGCAACCGGCCUUGACCGUUUGUGACACACACCCGGAGAAGUUGGAGUUGCCUGUUGCCCUUACCGUCAAUGUGGUUGGAGGAAAAAGGCCCAGUGUGACGCCAGCUUUAAUAAGUGGAAGGUGGUGAGGAAGGGAAAGGGAAGAGAUAUUAUUGUUUGGAAAGGAAGUCCCCUUCCAUAUUGUGUAUUUAGUAAAAGCUACACAGCAACUGAUAGGGAGGUAUGUUUCAGCCCAAGUAGUGCACGAUGUACUUGGUUCUUGGAUUUCAGUGAGUGCCAAUCGAUGUACUCGGUUCUUGCAAUUCAAUUACUUGAUCAAUGAAAUCCAACCCCCCAUAAUUUGGGAAAUUUAAUCAGUGAUUGUCUAAAUAAGCAAGAGUAAUUGACUUGGUAAAUCACACUGUAGAUCAUCAGCCUUGGAAAUUAAACUAAUCAUUGCAGUUAUAAGCAAAUGAUGCACAACACUGGUGGUGUGGAAUAUGUGUUAAUUAGCUGCUUCAUAUACUGACAGAUGUCUUAUGAUCUACAGACCUUGACCUUUCUGUUUUACCUUGAGCAGGAAUUAAAUACUGGCCAGAGCUCUUUGAAAAUAAGAAGAAAAUUUAAUAGGUUGAAUUUCACGUGGAAUGUAAAAGGCAUUAUUUUAAAGUUACCUGUGCUCAGACGAAUUUCAACACUUCUCAUCCCUGGCAACCCUUUGCCAUCCUAGUUAUGACUGCCCCCCCCGCCCAGCCAUCCCCGUAUAAUCUGCUGUGCUCCUGUUGCCUGGGAGCAAAGUAAUCAUUGGGUACUCAGUUUACUCAGUUUUAGACUAAUCAAAACCGAAUUAUUCAGUUUGCAAAAAGUACUCAGUUCUCCCAUCACUAGCAACUGACGGUCUCCUGCCGAUAAUUCCGGCUUGUCGCCCCACAAUGUUGCCGGCUUGCAUGUUCGUAGUUCGAAACACCGCUCGUCACCUGAGAUGUUUUUGGUUUGGAAAAUUUGUUCAUGAACUGAUCUGUUCGUGAUGAGAGGCGUUCGUGACCUGAGGUUCCACUGUAUUUCAAAUCUCAUGGUGGUCAGAUUUCUGUCAUUUUUUUAUUGAUUUUCUUGGAAUUUAAUUUUUUUUUGACCUGCCACAUUUUUCCGUAUACUUGGAGUUUCCAGAUACCCGGAGGCUGAAGUCAGAGUUUUACUGUAGUAAUAUAUGGAAUAAAAGAAAAGACAAUCCCGUUGAAACUAGUGAUAAAAAUGUAACAAAGAAGGUAAAGGAAUUACUUCAGAAACUGAAUGAUGAGGGUGAAGCUAAGUUGGAAGAAAAAGUAGAAGUGAGGAGAUUGGGCAGCUGUGUGGAAGGGGGGGGGGGCUGUAUAAACAAACAGCUGCCCUGCAGCAGGAUAUUUGAAAUGUUAGCCCAUAGUGUUAUUAAUAUUUUUGGCCUGGUCGUAAGUGUGUGCAGUCAUAAGGCGCACACGUCGUAGCUGGAGAACUACCUGGAUGAGUGGAAUAUUACAAAGGAAAUUUGGAUUAAGACUUCCUCAGAGAAAACAACCAGAAAUUGUGUGCCUUGUGGAAAGGAAAAGAGCUAAAAACAUUGUGUUUGAAAGAGCAGAAAAUUGUACUGUAUGGAGAAAAGACUGGAAGGGUAAGACAGGUGGAGGUAUUAUGAUAAUGAUCACCUCGAUGAUCUCUUCAGAAAUGAAAGUGGAAAAGGUGGAGCAGGGAGAGGGUAAAGCAGGAGUGUUCAGUGUGCACAUGUUAAAUAUAAGAGAAGAAACAACAGAAAGAGUGGCUGCGUGUAUCCCCUUAACCCUUUCAUUGCUAAAUGCUCGCAGUGAGCAGUAGCACAUAUGCUGGUGGUGCUAAACGCUCGCUGCGAGCUCCAGCCGCACUCAAAUCUCCUGCAUAUGAGAGUGUUCCAACACUAUUUCUCAACACAGGAUUGCCAAUUGAGUGGGUUUUCCACUAAAUUUGGUGGAAAAUCAUAUCAGCCUAGCGCGGGAAAUUUAUGGACGAGUAACUGGUGGAUGUUCUUGUCCAAUAUAGCGGCAUUUUUGCAUAGUUUCACCUAUCACCUGACUGAUUCUUUGACCAAAUAGUUGUAAAUUUUGCAGUUGGCAAUACUACCUUGCCAGCACCUCAUGGAGAGAUGUCCGCAGUUGCCUCAAUAUGGCUGACCGUUACGGAUGCACUAACGUAAGUGUUCACAGGCAACACUCCCUGAACGUGCAUGUACGUUCGCAGGAGAGGCAUACAUAACCGAGUGCUAUUGAUCUUGGCCUCCUCUUUUCAAUGGUGUUUUUGGUUUUCAGCUGUGAUGAAUAGUUUUUGAGAUACAGAGGUUAAAAGAGACCCCCCUCCCCCCGCUGGGCUGCCCAAGUGCGCCUGGGGGAUAGUCGCUUCCUCGCCAUGCGCACUGAAAGGGUUAAGACCAAUUACUGGAUGAGUGAUGAGCACCAAGGAAUGUUACAUGACACCCUGGAGAGCUUGGAACAGAUAAUGCAAAAUAGCAAAAAAGUGAUAUUUUUGGGAGGUUAAAACUGUAGUGAAGUAAAGUGCAAGACAUUCAAGAGUGAGAGGGAACAGAUUUCAGAGGAUGAUGACAUUGACAAACAUGAUGUAGCAACGGAAAAAAAGGUAAAGUUCUCGGAGGCUCAGCCCACGUGGCCGUGGUGCUCACUUCCCUCACACUGGCCCUUGGAGCCGAGGAACCAGAGUUUACCUUCCUAGGUUUCCCCAGGUACCCGUUUAUUGGCCUGCCCAAAAGGAGGGAUGGACAGCUGGGUGAGCUGCUAGCCGACUGCCCAGGAUGGGCUUUGAACCUGGGCCCAUGGAUUUGUAGCUAGUCAUGCUAAGCACUGCAACCGCUGCACUAUCCACUGUGCUACCCCUGGCAAUGGGUGAUGGAGAAAAUAUGAGCCAUCAAGAUUGGACUUGGUAUUUACAAAAGGGACUUGAAUAAAAGAACUAAAAAAUUCAUGUCCCUUGCGAAAGAGCAAUCCUUUGAUAUUGGAAAUAGAAGAAGGAGGAAGUGUGAAAGGAGAACAAAAUGAGGCACACAAGGAGACAUGGAAAAAUUUAACAGACAAAUUUAAGAACCUAAAAAAACUUCCUCCGAGAAACUAACAGGAGUAUGAAAGAAAUGAAAGGAUGUACAGAACUAAUAAUAUGAAAAAGGUGUUGCAGAACAUGUUCCUCUGUACAAGGCAAUUGAAAAGGGAUAAAAGAAUUGAUAUAAUGAAAAGUGUGAGAGGGCAAAAGAGAAAGGGGAUAAAGCAAGAUAGAAAGGGAGGAGAAAAUAACAUAAAGAAGCAAAGAACAUAAGCUGGCAGGAAAUAAUGAUGUGAGGAUAAGAAGAGAAGAGGAAGAGAACUUGACAGAUGUAAGACAGACCCUGAGCUACUCCAGAGAUAUAAACCAAAAAAUAAAGAAAAUGUAGCCUGUCAAAAAUGAAUAGCUUAAUAUAUGAAGAACCAAAUGAAAUGAGUGUAAUGCUGAGUGAAAAUUUCCAAAAACCGUUUACAUAGCAGUCAGAUUUUAAAACUCACAAAGAUGAAGAAACAGAGCAGAGAUGAAAGAUAUAACUGAUUGGAGUAGAGAUAGAGGAGGUGAUGAGGGGGCUGAAGGAAAGGAAAGCAACAGGCUUGGAUUGGGCAUCAAAACAUAUCUUAGAGGAGUGUAACCAAUAAUUCAUCAAACCAGUACAUGAUAGAUCAUAUUUGCCAUACUAGUACUUGGAUAUGCAUUUUUCUUUCAAAAUAAGACAACUAACAUGCAUGUUGGAUGUUGAAUGUUACAUUACCUGUAGGUGUAACCUAGGCCUAUAGGAAGUGUAGAGAUCAGCUAAGAUGUUGUUGAAGAGCUAUGACAGUGACAGACCCAACCCACCCUGGUAGUGUCUCCCGUGACGACGAGGAAACACUCACGGCAGCCGUUGUUGUUGCUUUGGUGUUCGUCCUGGCCUUGGUGAUGGGGUCGCUGGCUCCAGGGUGCCAUUUGUAUCAUCCUUUGCAUGGCCUGUCAUGUUCAUGUGGUGAUACAUACAUUAUAUUCCAGUGGUAGUGUGAGGCUUAACCACACACUCCUACUGUCUUGGUCAUCGGUGGGGUGCUGCUAGUCAAACUAAGACUUGCCAGUAGUAAACAAACCUCUCUAGUGAGCAGGUCACCUUCCACAUGGUGCUGUUAGUACUGUGCUGUACAGGCAGUUCUUGAGUUACAAUACAUGCAACUUAUGACUGCUUUCAUUUAUGAUCAGGCCAAUGAUAUUAAUAAUAGUUUCAGGUUAAGUAAUGGGUCAACAUUUCAAAUAUCCUGCUGUGGAUAGAGCAGCUGUUUGUUUACACAGCAUUCCUGCACCUUCUAUCCCCCUCACCCCCUACCCCAUCACUGUCCUCAUACGCUGGCCUUAUGGCCUUACCCGAGCUCACCCAUGCUUACCCCUCAGGUGCCUGUGGAGCUCACAUUGUAAGCACUGCUCUUGCUACAGUCGCUACUUUACCUGUUGACAGGUCUACAGUCCGCAACACAGUUUGCUUUACCGCUGGAUCUAGCAGACACCAGUUGGCUAGCACGUGAGCAAGGGUAGAGGGAGUCUAACCAGUUAUCACUGCUGUUUACAUGGCUCAGCCGAUUGAUAGGAACACAUAUUUAUGUUACUAAAUAAUUAUUUUUAAGGCAUUACUGAUAGGGAUUGCAUAUCUAUGGCAUGGUUAACCCCUUCACUACGGCCGGCCAAAACAGCGCCCCGCGCCAUAUCCAGGAUCGCUGCACGCGCCAAAUUUCAAAUGUUGCUAUUGAAUAUAACAAGUUUUCAGCCAUAAACUCAACAUAAUCAUCAUGUAUUAUAUAUGAAAACAUGCAGAAUUAAAUGGUGCACAUAAAGAAACAUAAAUUAAUUGAUAAUUUUGAGAUGUAAGCAUAAAUAUAGAAAUAAAAUAACUUGUAUAUUGGCUAAAGCGAGCCAGGACGCAGUAUGUGCGUCCUCGGAUAUGGUACGGGGCACGCAAGGACGCAGUAUACGCGUCCUCGUGUUGAAAGGGUUAAUCAAACCACAGUACAGCAAAGUCUUGCAUGAUCAGAUUUGGUGAGUUUGCAUUUAGCGACUGCAUUCAUUUGGUACCCUAAUUCACAUUUGGCAACCAUAUUCUUCCAUUUGGUGAUUAUUUUUGACUUCCUCUCCCUCAACAUGCACCAAGUCAUAUUUGGUGACCAGUUUUGUAUUUGACAAAUGUUUCCUCUUAGGUAAUGCUGGCUAACUGUUAUUGCUGUAUUUAUUUGCCAAAGAUUAUCAGUGUUAUACAUUUACGAUCCCAGUUUUCAGCCAAAAUGCAAGUAUCAUGUGAGAAAGAAAUUCUGUAAACUUUCAUCCUUGGUCAUCCUCUAAUAUCAAAUUCCGAAUUUCAUCAGUCUUCAACCCCCAUCCAGCAUGGUGCGCUGGGGAGGCAAGUGCCAGCAGCCAGGUGCCGCCCAACCCCCCUCCCAAAGCGCCUACCCCCCUCCCACCAAGCGCCCCCCCCUCCUCUCCUGCCGAUCCACAAACAGCAAAAAGUCAGACUCAUUCACCUUCCUGGUCGCAUCAUCAAGCUCCUCCACCUACUCAUUGUCACUGUCGGUCACCGCCAGACACACGAGAUGAAUGGUGGCAACCAGCAUCAUAAACUUACCCCCAAAUCAGAGGUCUGUGAGACAGGUAGUGCAAGUCAACAGCAAUCACUUCAUGGCUCACCAGAAAUAAAAGUUCCAUCCCCACAACACGCAGAAAUGAAGAAAAAUCAAGCACCUGAGCUCCCACAAGCCAGGGUGGCAGACUGACAUCACCACCGACAACAUAGUUGUUGAUGGUGGCUGUGGCGGCGGUGUCAUCAGUCCGUCGUCACCGCUGUCCUGUGAGGGCUCAGGUGCUCAAUGACUUGUGCUGUUUGUCUUGAAAAAGUCGUUCGUUUUUGGGGCAAAUCCUUGGCACAGGUCACCACCAGUCAUCCCACGCAUCUGACGGUGACUGAUGGUGAUGUUUUUUUAUUUAUACUUUUUUUAGGUGCUGCCUGUAGUGCCAGUAGGCUUUCUUGAGGGGUCUCAUCAACAACCCCAGCCCAUUGGUGGCAGAGAUGAAGUUUAAUUAUAGUAGCUGCAAUGAUAUAUGACUUGCUUGGCCCAUGCUGACCCCCAGUGCUCUUCUUGAUUUAAGUCACUGAAGUAAGGGUUGAUCAAAGAUCCGGGCAGCAUGUGGGUAAUCUUCAGCCACUCGGCGAUGGUUUGAAAAAUCAGCGUGUUUUAGUAGGACUCAAACCUAGGUCCACGGGCUCACCACACCCGCAUGGUGACCACCUGGCCACCAGCCAGGAAUGUGGAUGAGCCUGACUGCUGUUCAUGGAGAGGAGAGAGGAGGGGGCGGGGGGACGGAAUAUUUAUUUUCCCAUCAUGUCUUUAUUAUCUCUCUGUACCCAAUAUUAAGUGAUAGAAAAAAUGAGAUUUUACGACACCCAAAAACUAAAAAUAUGUUGACAGAGGGUCUGGUACCCAUUAACAUCUUUCCUAUUGCUUUAAUGAUUUGCAUUUUGUGAAUUCAAAUUUGGCAAACUUUCUCUGGCACCAGUCAUUUGCCUAUUGUGGAAUUUGACUGUAAUACAUAAAUAACUCCUGUAUACUGCACAGUUUCAUAGUAGGUGCCCAGUUGCCUAGCAAGUGAGGGAUACAGUCACUCACUGGUUGUUGGUCCUAUCUGAUAGUUAUGUAAUAAUACAUGCAGUACUGUUUGUUUUGUAUGAUGAUUAACAAGGAGCAAGAUUUGUGAGUUACCACUGAUCAGCUGAGCCAUGUAAAUAGCAGAGAUAACUGGUUAGACUCACUCCACCCUUGCUCGGCUCACGUGCUAGCCGACUGGUGUCUGGUAGAUCUAAUGAUACAGCAAACUGCCUUGCAGAAUGUACCUGUCAAUUGGUAAAGUAGCAAAUGUAGCAUGAGCAGCACUGACAACGUGAGCUCCGCAGGCACCUGAGGGGGAAGUGUUGGGGGGCUGGGGUAAGGCCAGAGAACUAGGACAGCCAUGGGGUAGGAGGGUGGGGGGAGGAGGUGCAGGAAUGCUGUGUAAAAUACAACUGCUCUACCCACGGCGGGAUAUUGAUCAUUAUUCUGUUUCAUUUUUUGAUGUAACUUUUUAUGACAAAGUUGACUUGCAGCCUGCCUGUCAGUCCCAAACCCUGUCAUAACUCAAGGAUUUUCUGUGUACGGGUAUAUUAUAUCUUACAUAUAUCACAAUAUGGUGCUGGUCCGGUAGUAUAUGGUAGAUGUGUACUGAGUCAUGAAACAAACAACAAAACUUCAUGAAUAUGGUAAUUGAUUUCUCACUAAAAGCAGGGAAAGUCCUGAAAGAGUGGAAAAGAGUGAAUAUAUUUCCAGUUUAUAAAUGUGGAAGUAAUGACAAACUGUUUAAUUAUAUACCAGCAUUUUUGACGUAUGUAAAACAUGUGAAAGGGUAAUCAAGAUGCAAUGAAUGGAAUAUUUAGAAAGAGAAGAAACAACAGAGAAACAAUUUGACAACACACAAUUGUGUGUUAGAAAUUUGACAAGUUUCUAGUCUUGAGUAAUAAAAAUAACACAAGAAGGGCUGGGUGGACAGACUGCAAUUAUCUAGAUCUGAAAAAGGCUUUUGACAAAGUUUCACAUAAAAGAUCAUUAUGGAAACUGGAAGACACAGUAGGUUUGAAAGGGAAAGUAAAAAAAGUGGAUGGAACGUGGUUUGGAAGGAAGAGAAAUGAAAAGUGUGAUGUGAGAGGAAGAUCACAGUGCAAGAAAGUGACGAGUGGGGUGCCACAGGGUUCAUUGUUGGCACCAUUUAUCUUGUACAAGAAAAAAUGGGGAAGGAAAUAUUUUAAUGACCAAAAAUUAGUUUUACCCAUAGAAAUAGAAAUACUUAGAAUGAGAUAGAUUGAGUGGUGGAGGCAAAAUGGGUCUGUCUAAGGAAAUACUGAACAAAUUUAAUUUUGGAGACAGGACCACACAAGUGUAGCUCGGGCCCUAUAUACCACAACUAGGUAAAUAUAAUUAAAUAAAUACACACACACACACACACACACACACACACACACACACACACACACACACACAGGUUAAUAGUUGUGCUCUUCUUUACACGAUAAAGCCAGCUGCGUUGAGCUGGUGUCUACUGAAGAGUUUACAUGCCAGGUGAUAGCUGCAUGAUGUAGUGCCUUAAGUUCCAGAUAUAAUACUGUAGCACUAUGAUUAUUUGGGAAGAAGAUGAGUUUAUUUUCUGUUUAUCCAGUUACAUGAUUUAUCUGUCCCCAAGUUCCUACGGGUGAGGGAGGGGAUAUCAUUAGUAUGUUAUCAUUGUUUUAUAUAGCAAAUGUCUAUGUGAUGAAAUAAGCCCAAAAGAAACCAAAUUCUGCACUUUAUUGAAUUUUUUAUAUAACCAAUUUUUUUAGUUUUUAGUCAGUCUGGAAGGUUAGACGCAGCAAGCAGUCAUUUUCCUUUUAAAUUCAAUUCUUCACACUUUCUUUAUUCUAAGGUGAGUAAAAUGUUGAGCACCUCACAUGCAUUUUGAAGUUGAUUCUUUAAAAUUGUCUGCCAUGUAACAUUGCUCUAUGGGAUAUUAUUGUAUUUGGCUGUGGACUCGAUUUGUAUGCUGUGAAUCAUACAUAAUUCACACUUCUUUUCCCCUAAAUGUAUGUUAAAGAGCUAGCCUCUAAGUUUGGUGCAUUUUGAGCACACAUGAGCUGAUCAGGAGAUUGAUCAGUAAGUAACCUGGGGCAUCCAUCAUCUCUAUGGAAGUGAUUUAGUUAUUUUAUUAGUUUUUAUGUCCCAGGAUAUGGUUGUAUGCCUUCAGGUAAUCUUCAAUCCAUUGUCAUCUCUGAACACCAGUAAAAGAUAGCCUACAUUUUUUUUAUUGUUAAAGUGUAAUGAAUCCUUUUAAUAAAAGUAAUUAUAUAAUA